GCCCCGUUCGUCUAGUGGCCUAGGACGCUGGCCUCUCACGCCGGUAACACGGGUUCGAAUCCCGUACGGGGUACCA
rnacentral:tRNA from 1 species